UCUGCGUGUUGCAGUGUGGACAUACAGGCUACAUGCGGCCAUCAGCCGGCCUGCCCAAGUCACGUGAUCCGGCACCCUGGUUGCUGUCAUCCGCCGGCUGAUUGAUACAACCCUCGAUUAUAGGCUACUUGUAUUACAAGCUAAAGCGUGGCCACCUCGCUGCCGUGAUCAUCGCUUCGUCGCGGUACCAAGGGUUGCCCGGUGAUGGCGAUGAUGAGACCGUUGACACGUCUGCCGCUUAUCACAAAGUUUUUGCCGCAGAUUACCUGAUAUAGACAGUGUUGUACUUGACGGCCGUAUCGAGAAGAUCCACUCUAAUGAAAAUAUUGUGUGCAUUAUCUACAAGAUGGCAGUUGAACUUUGUACGAGUUGUGAUUUUCUUGGUUUGUCAAAACAACAACAAACUCAAGAUCAACCGGUACGCAAUCCGUCUUGUAAGGUGUUUGUCCGAUCUGGUGACAGUAUUGGUUGGUUCAUCGGGAUUUCAGAAUGAAAGGAUUGUUACAGUAGGAUAAUUACUUCAGAGAAUGGGUAAAAUCUCAGAACAGAUUACAGCAAAGUUGUUUACGAACUAUCUGCUAUAUUAUGACAGUAUGAUGGUAACGAACAAGAUUGAGUUUUUAGUUUACGAUAUGCGUCCUUCAUUUACGAAAGGCGUGUAUCGUAAAAUUCAAUGUUCCUUAUGUAUAACGUGAUAGUUAUGUACAUUAUCUUAUCUACGACCGUACUGUGACAAGAUAUUCCAGAAAGACUGUUGUAACAGUUAUCAAAGAUUUUUAAGAACUGUACAAUAUAUUAUGUUUAAUCAAGGUGAAUAACUAUUGACGAAGGGAUGUGUUUCUAGCCUGCGAUAUUCCAUUUCACACAUUGUAUAUUUAGAGAAUAUAUUAUAGUUAUUUAUGUAAUUUAAUGCUGGAGCUAUAUUUGUCUAUGUAAUGUACUACUUAAUAUAUGUUUUGUAAUCUUGACAGAAAGUAAUUCUAACCCAGGCUGACCUAGCUCUCCACUGUACCGUCUUAAUAAAAAAAAUUAGUAAUAUGG